GUUUAUUUUUGCAUCUGUGUUAGAAAAGGCGGCUGGUGGUGGAAGAAAUCGGUAAAUUUGGGAAGUUGGAAAUGAUUUCAUCGACAUAGAAGAAGAAGGUGAUGCUGGAUCGAAGUAGAAAUGGGAUCUGUUGUUGUUGAAAUAAAGAGGAGCGAUUUGAAAUCGAGAUCCAGAUGGGUUUCUAUGUGUUGCUGUGAAUCUGAUUGGAAGAAGAUCCAGAGAAGCUUUGCUGCUGUCAUGGAUUGAUGAAGAAAUUCAAGGGUUUGAGAUGAAUCAGAAGUAUGGGUUUGUCUCAGGUUCAGGGUUACAUCGAGAUUCAGUUGGUGUUACUCUGAAAUGGAGGAAUGGGUUUCGAAAUCAGAUGGUGGUUGAAGCUGUUAAAGGUGGUUAUGAUUGCGGAUUUAGGAGCUCGAGAUGAACAAGGAAAAUGGGUAUUCCAUUUACAAUAUCGUAUUUGAAGUCUGAGAUGAAUUUAGGGUUCUUGAAGUUCUGGUUCGUUCUUGGUUCGAAAUUCAGGUGGUACUGAAAUGGAUGGGAAGAUUAGUAAAGAGCUGUUGCUUCUUAAAUGGGUUUGCUGGAUUGAAGUUGCAGCUGUUGCAGGUGAGCCUAGGGCUGUGAAGUAAACUGCAAUGUGUUUAGAUGAAUGCCUAGGUUCAGGUACCAGAUUCUGUGCAGGUUAUGGUUGAAUCAAGGAAGAGUAACUGCCAAGGGGAAAUGGACAGAAAUGGAAGUGUUGUUGAGGUGUUAUUGAGCUCAAAGGGGAAUUGGCUUGGUUGGUUUGUAUAGGAAAUGGUGCCAAUGGAAGUGUUGGUGAUGCCGAAGCUGAGAUGCUGAGGAUGUUGGUAUUAAAGAGAUGAAAGAGCUGUAAACUGCAGAUGCAGGUGUUGCUGCUGUUGCCGCUUCAGGUGGUAGUCAAGAUGAACAAUAAGGAGCAGUGACUGAAAUUGAUGAUGCAGGUUGAGUUAAAAUGUUGCUAAUGGAGUUACUGAGAUGGUGCAGAUCUAAUGAUGGUUGAGUUUGUUGUUGUUGUUGGAACUGAUGCAAUUUUGUUUGCAGUGAAGGCAUGGAAGAUUGAAAUGGCUAGGUCGAAUGUUGUUGUCGAGUACAAGUGAGUUUCUGGAGGAGAAGAGGCUUAGAUGAAUGUGUAAGAUUAAAUUCUUACAGGGAAGAGCAAGUAUCAGUUGUUGUGGUUCUGGUGGUUGAACUGGUGGGUCUGUGAGAAGUAGAAAUUGCAGGCAAGGGUUUAUUUGAUGGAGUUGCUGGUGCUAUGUAGUGGUGGCUAUGAGCUGAGAAGAACUGAGAUGGAAAGAGUUGUAUUGAAGCUUUUACAGGUGGUUGUUGUGCAAGCAAGAAGUUGCAGGCACUGUUAACUGAAGAAAUUGCAGGAGUCAGGUUGUAGCUGAACUGAGGUGCUAUGUUAUGAUGCAGCUGCAGUAUGGUUUGGUAUUUGUGAGGUCAAGCCAGUGAUGGAGUGAAUCUAGAAUGAACUGAGAUGAAGAAUGGGUUUAUCUUAAAGCUGCAGCUGAGAGUGUUAUGAAGUGGUAAGAAGCUCAGGUGUGUGUAGAUGGGAGGUUGGAGUUGAGUACAGUUGAGAUGCAGUUGCAGGAAAGGAGUGCAGUGUACUAUCAUGAUGCAAUAGCAGGUUAUGGCAUGUACAAGGCUGCAAUGGCUCGGGCCCAAGGAAUUCAUCCCACUCAGCCUAGUGAUCUCAGCUAACUCAUGGCUGACUCUCUUAUCCCAGUUGACUCACCUUGACUCAGUGACUUUGACUGAGUUGACCCGAGUCCUGACCAGGUUGACCGGCGACCAGUUUGAUUUUCCCGGUUACCUGAGAUUGGACCUAAUUUUAGAAGUGGGGAGAAAAGCUACAAAAGGGAAGUCUUCUACAAAGAACGGAUGCUACUUGGAGCUAAGGAGGAGAGCCGCUUUUACUUACGCUACUUUGCUUACAUCUUCGUUAUUUGAUUAUUGAUUAUGAUGAACUCCAUAGCUAUGAGUAUCUAAAUUUAAUGUUAUUGGUUAAGGAUGUAGUCCUAUAUCUACAACUUGUGCUUGAUUAGUGCGUUAGUUUUCUCUCUUGAUUAUCGUUCAAA